AGCAGCCGCGGUAAUUCCAGCUCCAAUAGCGUAUAUUAAAGUUGUUGCAGUUAAAAAGCUCGUAGUUGAAUUUCGGGGUUAGUAGGUUGGUCAUGCCUCUGGUAUGUACUGGUCUCACUGAUUCCUCCUUCCUGAUGAAUCUUAAUGCCAUUAAUUUGGUGUUUUGGGGAAUUUGGACUGUUACUUUGAAAAAAUUAGAGUGUUUAAAGCAAGCUAACGCUUGAAUACAUUAGCAUGGAAUAAUGAAAUAGGACGUUCGAUCCUAUUUUGUUGGUUUCUAGGAUUGACGUAAUGAUUAAUAGGGAUAGUUGGGGGCAUUAGUAUUCAAUUGUCAGAGGUGAAAUUCUUGGAUUUAUUGAAGACUAACUACUGCGAAAGCAUUUGCCAAGGAUGUUUUCAUUAAUCAAGAACGAAAGUUAGGGGAUCGAAGACGAUCAGAUACCGUCGUAGUCUUAACCAUAAACUAUGCCGACUAGGGAUCGGAUGAUGUUAAUUUUUAAUGACCCAUUCGGCGCCUUAC
rnacentral:rRNA from 1 species